UACAGAGGUCCCAAGCGUUGUUCGGAUUCACUGGGCGUAAGGGGUGCGUAGGUGGCGGGGCAAGUUUGGUGUGAAAUCCUAGGGCUCAACCCUGGAACUGCACUGAAUACUGCUUUGCUAGAGUACUGGAGAGGGAACUGGAAUUUACGGUGUAGCAGUGAAAUGCGUAGAUAUCGUAAGGAAGACCAGUGGCGAAGGCGAGUUCCUGGACAGUUACUGACACUGAGCACGAAGGCCAGGGAGCAAAGCGGG
rnacentral:rRNA from 1 species